CAUCACAGCCCGGGACAGGACAUCUGAGAGGAGGAACAAACACAGAGGUGUCACUUUGUCUGCCAUAGGUAGAGCUUCGUAGAACUGGAGGUCCUCUGCUCUUUGACUAGACAGGAAGAACCAACCAGCUGAACCUGACCCGACUCGACCUAACGUAGUCUGGAGGUCCAUCCUCUGUGGAUCAGCUGAGGAUUACGCUUCCCUUUAGCCCGUAAUGGGGCCUGGGAGUGAUCCGACCUGCUUUGUGGGACGCAAACAACAAGAAUGAAGCUGAUUCCCUACAAGCAAGCAAACAUUUUAUCACUUAAGAAG